UUUAAAGAUUUCUAUGUUUAUUUUAAAGAGUCUUACCUAUAAAUGCUAUGAAAUUGUAUUGAACUAGAAUAAAUACAUUUUGAGCUUUAUACGAUCGUCCACUACUUCACGUUUAAUAGUAUCAUGGAAAUGUUCAAGACAUCUUUGACAAUUAAAGGUAUUAUUUGACAUAAACCCAUGAAAUGUUCGUUGACAAGCAUCUAAGAGCUGAAUGCGUAGGCAUAGGUAUGUGAAGACUGGAAAACAAGGAAGAUAAAGUGUUGUAGGCGAAUUUCCAUAUUUCAAUAUCAUUUGUUUCUUUAAGA